UACGGAGGAUGCAAGCGUUAUCCGGAAUGAUUGGGCGUAAAGCGUCCGCAGGUGGCAAUGUAAGUCUGCUGUCAAAGCGUCUGGCUCAACCGGAUAAAGGCAGUGGAAACUACAUAGCUAGAGUAAGGUAGGGGUAGAGGGAAUUCCUGGUGUAGCGGUGAAAUGCGUAGAGAUCAGGAAGAACACCGGUGGCGAAAGCGCUCUGCUGGACCUAAACUGACACUGAGGGACGAAAGCUAGGGGAGCGAAUGGG
rnacentral:rRNA from 1 species